UACGUAGGGGGCAAGCGUUGUCCGGAAUCAUUGGGCGUAAAGCGCGUGUAGGCGGUCCGGUAAGUCCGCUGUGAAAGUCGGGGGUUCAACCCUCGGAUGCCGGUGGAUACUGUCGGGCUUGAGUACGGAAGAGGCGAGUGGAAUUCCUGGUGUAGCGGUGAAAUGCGCAGAUAUCAGGAGGAACACCAAUUGCGAAGGCAGCUCGCUGGGACGUUACUGACGCUGAGACGCGAAAGCGUGGGGAGCAAACAGG
rnacentral:rRNA from 1 species